CUACCUGCACUGUGGGAAUGCCCGGUUGUGCACCCCCCUAUGGGACAAAGCCUUACAGUGCAUGGGAGAUGGCCUUGGAUCCCAGGUACCUACAGUAGGUCACCAAAACUGUGUCUGCUGAGUGACAAGGCUGAAAUAAGAGGGAUUAAACGAACAAAAGGUCAAAUACAAUGUUUAGGUAUUGUGUCUGUGUUAAGGCUUGUCCUGAAACAUUGGAAGAGCUCCAGUGUUCACACAGUGGAUGAAUCUGUUGAUACAAAACAACAGCGUAUGAAAUCGUGUUUGCGAAGAGGCUGGAGGAAAAUAAUACAGACUGUGUUUCCUUAAGGGUACAUAGAGGCGUGUAGAGGCGACAGGUAGCCUAGUGGUUAGAGUGUAGAGGCGGCAGGGUAGCCUAGUGGUUAGAGUGUAGAGGCGGCAGGUAGCCUAGUGGUUAGAGUGUAGAGGAGGCAGGGUAGCCUAGUGGUUAGAGUGUAGAGGUGGCAGGUAGUCUAGUGGUUAGAGUGUAGAGGUGGCAAGGUAGCCUAGUGGUUAGAGUGUAGAGGCGGCAGGUAGCCUAGUGGUUAGAGUGUAGAGGCGGCAGGUAGCCUAGUGGUUAGAGUGUAGAGGCGGCAGGGUAGCCUAGUGGUUAGAGUGUAGAGGCGGCAGGUAGCCUAGUGGUUAGAGUGUAGAGGUGGCAGGUAGCCUAGUGGUUAGAGUGUAGAGGUGGCAGGGUAGCCUAGUGGUUAGAGUGUAGAGGCGGCAGGUAGCCUAGUGGUUAGAGUGUAGAGGCGGCAGGUAGCCUAGUGGUUAGAGUG
ensembl:lncRNA